UGAGUAUCGGGUAUAAAAAGACAAAUAUGCAGCCAAGCCUAAUCGUGCUAGCGGAGAAACAGUGUCGUGCAGCAAAAUAGGAGAGGAAAUCGAAGUUAAGGAAAAUGACAUUGAAAUUAUAAAUGUAGCAUUCACUUUCACCGCAAGUGGUUAGUCCUUAAAUAUAUAUUACAAAAUUCAAGUACACCGAAAUGAUCAAAAUUGUACAUUUCAAAGAAAAAACCAAAUUGCAAUUGUGCUGGUUUGGUGACUGCUGCUGUGGAGCGCCUUGAGGCCUCAGUGACUGCUGCUGUGGAGCGCCUAGAGGGAACGAUGACUGCCCUUCUACCUGAAAUGAGCACUUUGCGGACUCAACAAAAUAAAUCUAUUCAACAAAUGCCUGUGCUGGUUGAAGCAGUCGCAGAGCAGGCUGGCACGUUAAAAAGUCUAGGAAGGCAGCACGGACAGGGGCAAACAGUCGCCAAAUAUUUCCCUGUUUUAACAGACCAGGGACCUACAGAGCUGGACAUGCAAAUAAACAGCACAAAUAGAGAUAUAUACAUUGAUGCAAUAAGGAAAAUGUUAUUACCGAGCGGCGUUUCAAAAUAUUUUAAAAAUUUUUUGGCCAAUUAAGUUGUGUUGGCAUAUAACGUGGCUGCAAGGCAAGUUUGCUCUAAAAAAUUUAAAGAAGUUUUAUGGAGUUUUGAUUGGUAGGCUAUUUUGUUUUUUGGUUGUUA